UCCACCACGGAUGGUGGUGGUUUUAGUCAGUAGCGUGUUUGCCCUGCAAACACGCAGGUAAAAAAUAUACAAGGAUGUAUAUUUUUUACCGUGC
rnacentral:sRNA from 1 species